ACAGGAUGUCGGGGGAGUCUCACCAGAGAGACUGAGAGGCUAUCAGCAAGGUAUAGCGACCCUUAGAACCUGACCCGGUUGAUACUGGCGUAGGAAGACGAACGAAUGAUCUG
rnacentral:ncRNA from 2 species